rnacentral:rRNA from 1 species
GAAUGCUGACAUAAGUAACGAUAAAGCGGGUGAAAAGCCCGCUCGCCGGAAGACCAAGGGUUCCUGUCCAACGUUAAUCGGGGCAGGGUGAGUCGACCCCUAAGGCGAGGCCGAAAGGCGUAGUCGAUGGGAAACGGGUUAAUAUUCCCGUACUUGGUGUUACUGCGAAGGGGGGACGGAGAAGGCUAUGUUGGCCGGGCGACGGUUGUCCCGGUUUAAGCGUGUAGGUGUGUGUUCCAGGUAAAUCCGGUUCACUUUAACACUGAGGCGUGAUGACGAGGCACUACGGUGCUGAAGCAACAAAUGCCCUGCUUCCAGGAAAAGCCUCUAAGCAUCAGGUAACAUCAAAUCGUACCCCAAACCGACACAGGUGGUCAGGUAGAGAAUACCAAGGCGCUUGAGAGAACUCGGGUGAAGGAACUAGGCAAAAUGGUGCCGUAACUUCGGGAGAAGGCACGCUGACAUGUAGGUGAAGUGAUUUACUCAUGGAGCUGAAGUCAGUCGAAGAUACCAGCUGGCUGCAACUGU